rnacentral:lncRNA from 1 species
AGUUACUGUGGGCGGGAGGCCGAUGGCCAACCUCUGGUCUUCUUUCCCCGAGAUCCCGCCUACCCCUCCCAGCACACCAGUCAGCUGAACCUGAGUCACACAUCCACCAGCCAAUCACAGACACACAGCAGAGACAUCCAUAACCCCAAAGACAUCAUCCCGGUACGACCAACUCAUUCUGAAUGGAUGGAUGAAGGACCGUCAGUUGAGCUUUUUUUCAUUCUGUGUUGUCUCAGUGCAACACCUACAUUCAUGUCGUCACUAUAAUUGUCAGAGGCAGCUGUCUUCAGUACUUAAUGUCACCAGUAGAGGGUGCUGUAGCCUCAGAGGAAGGAAACCACUGAACUGAAUAAAAUGGAACACCUCUAUUCUUCUCCCUCUUUCCCACACCUCUCCAUUCUACCAACGACGUCUUCCUCUCCUCAUGUCCCCUGUAUCUUCCUCCCCUCAUGUCCCCUGUAUCUUCCUCUCCUCAUGUCCCCUGUAUCUUCCUCUCCUCAUGUCCCCUGUAUCUUCCUCUCCUCAUGUCCCCUGUAUCUUCCUCUCCUCAUGUCCCCUGUAUCUUCCUCUCCUCAUGUCCCCUGUAUCUUCCUCUCCUCAUGUCCCCUGUAUCUUCCUCUCCUCAUAUCCCCUGUAUCUUCCUCUCAUGUCCCCUGUAUCUUUCUAUUUCGCCCCCUGUUCUCCCUCGCUGUCCCCCUAAACCCCUAUUCUUAUGUUCUCUCUCUGGCCCCUUCUCUAUACUUCUACCCCCCCCCCCCCCUUCUCUAUACUUCUACCCCCCCCCCCCCCCCCCCCUUCUCUAUACUUCUACCCCCCCCCCCCCCCCCCUUCUCUAUACUUCUACCCCCCCCCCCCCCCCCCCCCUUCUCUAUACUUCUACCCCCUCCUCUAUCCUUCUUCUCUCUCUGGCCCCUCUAUCCUUCUGCACCUUCUCUCUCUGGCCCCUCUAUCCUUCUACCCCCCUCUCGCUCUCCCCAUCUCCCCCCUAUAUCUUUCUCCCUCCAGUUCAAUGUUCUUCAUAGGCUGGGUCAGAGUAAUUGGUCUCGUAAUCGUGAGGGCGUGGCCAUGAGAGAGGUGACCAAUCCCAAGGAGCCCACCCCCUACUGGACGACCUAUCGCAGUGAGCACAGGAGUCCUAGCCCCUCUCCCUCACCACACGACCCCACUGGUAGACCCACACUGUGGCAUCAACAUGAUAUACUGACAGGUGAGACCAGGACUCCAGCAGGUCCAGGUAACCCUAGGAGACAGUCUGGAGAGAGAGUCCUGUGGGCAACACGACGCUGGGAGACGGACUGCUGUUCCCUCCGACUCUACUAAACACACAAUUCAACUGUACGUGUACACACACACACACAACUCUGACCCAACUGAGUGAAGUUCAGUCCAAAACCAGUCCACUAACACUCCAUCUAGUCAGAACAACUCCCUGCAAUAACACUUCAGACUAAUAAACCUGCUCCCUGAAGAGCACUGAACUGGCAGAUCUGGGCUGAGUGGUACAGCACUGAACUGGCAGAUCUGGGCUGAGUGUUACAGCACUGAACUGGCAGAUCUGGGCUGAGUGUUACAGCACUGAACUGGCAGAUCUGGGCUGAGUGGUACAGCACUGAACUGGCAGAUCUGGGCUGAGUGGUACAGCACUGAACUGGCAGAUCUGGGCUGAGUGGUACAGCACUGAACUGGCAGAUCUGGGCUGAGUGGUACAGCACUGAACUGGCAGAUCUGGGCUGAGUGGUACAGCACUGAACUGGCAGAUCUGGGCUGAGUGGUACAGCACUGAACUAGAGGGGCUUUUCACUUAAUAAAAUAACUAAUUAAUGGGAACUGUGUGAGAGAAUGUGUGCAUAGGAGACUGAAAGGGUGUGUGUGUGCGCAAGUGAGUCCAGUGCCAGGAGUAGAACAGUACAUCUAUCUAACCACGUCUGUCUGACAGGACAUUUAAAAUGGAGGGUUGGCCCUGGGGGGAGGGGGACGGUCAGUACAGUUUCAACACCCCUCCCUCCCUAACAUCAACAACAUUCAACACCCCUCCCUCCCUCCCUAACGUCAACAACAUUCUACACCCCUCCCUCCCUAACAUCAACAACAUUCAACACCCCUCCCUCCCUCCCUCCCUAACGUCAACAACAUUCAACACCCCUCCCUCCCUCCCUAACGUCAACAUUCAACACCCCUCCCUCCCUCCCUAACAUCAACAACAUUCAACACCCCUCCCUCCCUCCCUAACAUCAACAACAUUCAACACCCCUCCCUCCCUAACAU